AAAGAGAGUAUGGCAAGACAUAUAACUAAGUAAAGUCAUGCCAAGGAUAUUCAAAGAUGUUCCUGUUUGUGGAUGACCAUAUGUUAUUUAUAUCAAGCCUCAGAACAUUGUAGAACCUCCUGGAAGAAAUCUGUAACAUUGCAAAGCUAUCUGGCAACAAGAAUUGGAUAUAACUAGCUCCAAAGAAUGAAAAAAAAAUAAGUAUCAUACAAACAGAAGAGAAGAGACACAUGGUGGGAAUGAGGCAGCUGCAAUAUAUAACCAAUGAAG
rnacentral:lncRNA from 1 species